UUCCCACUAUAAAUUUUUUAUGUAAAAAUCUAUAACUCUUAUAAUUAAUUUUUACUUUAAAUUUAUUAAUUUAUUUUUCACCUAUUUAUUUAUGAUAAACAUCCUAUUUUAAUCAGAUAAGGAGAAAAAAAAUUAUUUCCGUAAGUAGUCCUUUCCCAACAUAAUUCUAUACAUAAAUUUCUCAAUUUAUUUAUGCACUUAAAAAGCUGGACAUGUAGAUCACAAAACCUUAACAUACACAUUGCGCUAGGCACACAUCAUUAUAAUUACAGGAUCUGAACAUCAAUGACCUUGCGCUCCACAUGGGUCUUAGGAAUUGAAAUGUAAAGAACACCAUUCUUCAGCUCUGCAUCUCAAUUUAUUUAUACACUUACAAAGCUGGACAUGUAGAUCACAAAACCUCAACAUACACAUUUCGCUAGGCACUCAUUAUUAUAAUUACAGAAUCUGAACAUCAAUGACCUUGCGCUCCACCUUUGUCUUAGGAAUUGAAAUGUAAAGAACACCAUUCUUGAGCUCUGCCUUGACCUUAUCUUUCUCACAGUUAUCAGGAAGCUGGAGACGAGUAUCGUAAGAGCUAAAACUUGCACCUCCAGCUUCUUCUGCCCUGUGCUCUCCUUUAAUGACAAGGACUUCAUCUUCCACCGACACUUUGACAUCCUCCUUAGAGAGUCCAGGCAUGUCAAAUCUCAUUUUGAUCUCAUUUUCCUCCUCUUUGAUGUCCCACGGUGUUCUCACCUGGCCUCCCCCGCCAGCCCGGCUCCUCCCCGGAAAAGCCAUCGUAUCCUCUAAUAGACGGUCCAUUGUGUCCAGCAUCUGCCGCAUUGUCCUCGUUGGAAACGAGGGAUCCAUCAAACCUGCAACCCAAAGUCGUACAUUUUUUAGAAUUGGGUAAUUAAAUCGGUGUUCAAUUUACUUCCAAACCUUAUGAUUUAACAUAAUCAGUAUUUUAUUAACUAUAAAAUCAUGCAAAGGCAACUGCUCAAUACCCCUAGCAGCCGCAACGCAAACUAACAUAGUCUAACAGAGCAUGUAAAACUUGUAUUAUUUAAAUCACUGAAUCCUACAGGCAACGGACGAAGGCAAAGACAAAUUUAAUUCGCUGAACUUACCGAAAGGUGAAAUAUCGAGAGCCGUUCUUCGAGGCCUCCUCUCCACUUGGGUUCCUUGGUUACCGGAAUUAACAUGGACGUCAACCGAAGUAUCCUUGUUCUCCCCACCAGCCUGAGCUCUCACGGCUUGUAGCCGAUAGGCGCCUUUCCUUGACGUUGCCGGUAAGGUUACCGAGCAUGGCGCCACAUUUCUCCUAGCUAUUGAGGUCCUGGCCUCGCGCGAUACCAAGGGUGAUGAUGAUGAGAUAGAUAAUGUUGCAGCCAUUUAUUUUCACUUUGUUUUCUGAGCACUUGAGAGAAUCGACCGAUGGUUUCGUGGAGUGAGGAGUGGAGAUAUAUAUACACACACACACACAGAGGGAGAGAGAGGCAAUCAAUGAGAUGUGAACAAGUGUGAAAGAUUGGAGAGGCAUCAUGAAACUUGUAGAGUACGAAAAUUCUGGACUCAACGCCCAUCAUCCACCAUCCAAAUUAUACGUGAUUAUACUUUUGUGUCUUCUUCUUUCUACUGGUUUCUCAUCCAUUCGGGAAGCAUCGCGAAUGAAAAACUUUUUAUUUACAAUUGGACCCUUAUAUUUUAUUGUAUUUUACUUAAAAGGACCCGGAUCAUGCUUUCAAUUGUCCCAUACAUAGUACAAGUUGCACUGUUUUCAAUUUUUUACUAGUGAAUAGUGAAAAUUAAGCAACAUUCAUUGAGUACUAAUAACUUUUUUUUUUUUUAUAGUACAAGUUGCACUGUUUUUAAGCAACAUUCAUUGAGUACUAAUAACUAAGCAACAUUCAUUGAGUACUAAUAACUUUUUUUUUUUUUUAAAGUCCGGUAACAUACACCAAACUACCAAUGAAUUAAAAAUAUGGAAACGUUAAUAUUGGAAGACAUUCCGUUAACAGUCCCCCAGGACAGGGCCAAAUUAUUGGUGAAAAUAAAAAAAAUCUUUCCCCGUCGAGCUAAAAGUUCAGAGUAGAAACUAUGGAAUAGGCUUUCUAAUAGUUGACAAGGAAUUUGAUUGGACUUCAUAUGCACCGAGUAGGAAAUACAUUUAGACAAAAUGCGUUCAGUUACAAUUGUUACAAUUGUUACAACUUCCAGAACGCAUCUUGUUACAAUUGUUACAAUUAUUUUAAAUUCAGUUACAGACAUCCAACGGUUCUGGAGACUAUUCUACGUUGGAGCUGCUCCAACCGUAGCAACUGCCAUGCAAAAAUAAUGUUGCUCUUUACCUCUUUCAUUGGUGCUAUAUGAGGAUCGAUUAUAAACUUUGAAUUUCAAAUUUUGUAAGCUUACCAAAACUAUUGAAUAAAUCAUAAGACUGCGUAUGCGAAGUUGUAUUAGAUGGUAAAUACAUUUACAGUCCUUGUACAGUCGUAUGGUAACAAACUUUAAAUAGCUAUUUUUUGAGUUUACUAAUUGGCAUUUGGUCGGUAAAAUACCUACCCGUCCAUACAGAAACACCAAGAAACCAGAGUAUACAAAAUGCUAUAACUCAAGCCACAAUAUAAACUGAAGAUCUACACACGGCUGGAAUGAAAUUCCCAGCCAAAAAAGACAAGAAUGAAAACACUCGAAUGUGGAUCAAACGCGUCCAGGAAGUCUCUUAGAUAAAAUCAGAACCACCCGGGCGAAACUCCAGGUCUGGAUGAGUCCGAUCAGGCCCUCGUGGGUUUCUGCUAGUACAAGAAAGCAAAAAAUGUCAGAUUUCCACACUAUCUUAAUCUGAUCUCUGUUUGUGUUCAAACAAUAGUGUGCCAAAUUUAUUGAAAGAAUCCCUUAAUGAUCAAACUCAAAGGUCGGCACCAGUUGCUAGAAAAAGCUUCAGAAAAGGGGCAAUAGCAAGAAUAUUUUCAUAUUUAUUUGUAAGUGCAGAAAAGUCGCUAAAAUAUGUGUUCAGCAACUCUUCACGUGCCUAAUGCAAAAUGAAAUACAUGUCCCAAAUACCAACAUUUUUCUUUCUUUAUUUUCUCUUUUCUAAUUCAUUCAACUUGAACUCCCAAAAAAUGGACCAUCAUAUGCAAUUUUUCAUCAAGUACAAAUCCUGCAUAUGGAACAUGAAAAGUUUCAUAAUUUUAUCAAAUAGUGAUGGCAUAAAUUCUUCAAAUGAACCACAACAGACCAGAUAUCACCAUCAGUUCAGGCUGAAUCACUAGAUUGAGCUAACUAUUAAUCACCCUAGACCACAAAAUCAAUGAGCCAAAUGAAGGUUAUGUAGACAAAUACAACUUAUAACCGUAUGUUUACAUGAGGAAUGCUGAAUUUCACUCUUCCCUCAAUUUUCUUCUGUAAGUUACCAUGUUAUAAGACCAUGAGAAUCUUAAUUCACAUAUACCUGACAAAACGAUUAGGUUCAAAUCCAGGUAUGCCAGGCGGGCCGUAGGGAUCAAAACGAGCACCUGGAGGAACAGGCCUGCAUCACAAAUCCAAAAGAAUCAGAUCCCACACAGAUGCUAAUUUCAAAUAAGCCAAGACAUUUUCUUAAGAACUCACGGGUUCCCUCCAGGAAAACUAGGGUCUCCACCAAAAAAGCCAGGAUGAUCAGGUCCUGUGUCCACAUGAUAAAAGUCAGUAAGUCUGGAGAGGUGACAAACUUAUAUCAAACAACUUAGUAAAACAAGCCUUGUCUUACGGACCUAUUAGCAUGCUCCCAUCACCGCCAAAGCCACCCCUGAAAGGCAGUUAAAAUAGACAUAUACAUGUUACAAUUACAAAGAAUAGUAAUGACAAACAAUUAAUGAUUUCAGAUAGUGACACGCAGUUAAAAUAGACAUAUACAUGUUACAAGUAGAAUGAAAUAGCAAUGACAAACAAUCAAUAAUAUGGAUACUAACAUACCUUCUAGGAUACAUUCCAGCACCAGGGCCAGGAAAAAGAUCGCUACUACGACUUGGGUUGAUAGGAGGAACAGGAAUUCUACAAAGCAAAUUACCACACAAAGUUAGAGUCUCUGGGUUAUCAUAGCGAAAGGGGUGAUCAAAGGGAGGAAUUGCCAAUAAUUAUUCAAUUCAAGCCCAGAGAUUCCGGAAAUCUGGUAAGUUUGGCAUAUGAGCAUCCAAACUUGCUAUUUAAUCAACAGGCAAGCGCAGAACAUUAUAUUUUGUACUUCAAAAUAGCAUGGGAAAUUUACGACCAAGCACCAAAAGCCUCAUCCUUUGUUAGAACAGAAACAAAUGGUCACAGUAAACAGACCAUCACUACCCAAUUUCAAGAUAUGAAAGAUUAUUGGGUACUAAGACUCAAAGACAACAUUAUUCUGCUAGCCCAUCGUCAAUUACCAUAAAUAGUCACUCACAUUAACAACAGAGUUCAUAAUAAUUGAAGAAAUUUUUUAAUGCAUCAUAUAAUGAAUCUGUAGCAAUUGCAAUGUAUUAAUCCAAGUCCCAUGAAGAUACAGGGAAUAAAAUUAGUCAACGAUAGUAAGAUUAGCUUUUCAGCCAAGAAUGGGAUUAUCCCCGAAAGCCCCCUUCAGACUUACACCCCCACGCCCAACACCCCUUCCCCCNNNNNNNNNNNNNNNNNNNNNNNNNNNNNNNNNNNNNAAAAAAAAAAAAAAAGAAAAGAAAACACCCAAAAGAAAGAAAAAGACAAAAAGAAUAGCAAAGAUUAACCCUGUAACAUAAGAUUGAGGCCCUUCAUGCUCAAAUCCAAAAGCAGGAUCGGUUACAAUAGGCCUUGAUCCUUCACAUCUUUCCGAGCUGCAAAGCACCACAAAAUUCCGUGAAAAGCUUAUUUAAAAGAUGGCAUCCUUGUUGUGCAUCUCUAGGCAGAUCAAAAUAAAAAAAUAACAAUAAAAAUGAAAAUAAAUAAAACAUAUAACAGCUUCAAAUUUCAGCGAAAAGAAUAUAACUCUCAACACAAUACUCCACUUUGGAAAAUUAGGUGUACACUGAAUCAUUGACAAGAAAGCUACAUUUCAAUGCGAAAUAUAUAGCAAAGAAAUAAGAAGCAAUUUUUUAAUUCUCCAAAUCAUUCAGGAGUAGAAUUCAAAACUUGCUUCAUAUAUUCGUAUCAUAUUGGUAAUCGAACAAAAUCAAUACACGCUCAACUGUUCCUAUAAAAACAUAUAAAUUGAACCACAAUGUUGAUCUAGACCCUAGCUUCAGGAUCAACAACAACAACUCUUAUAAAUUUAGUCAUCCAACAUGGUUUACAUAUAUCAUUCACAAAACCAAUGAAAAACAUGAUAUCAUCAUCUUUUUUCUGAUUAUCCUGUAUGCCUAAAUUGCAAUUAGUUUUUUGUUCUCAAAUACAACUGACUCAUUAUAUCCAAACUUUAGGGAACUCACCUAGCUGUUUUUGGGGAGCCGUAUAAUUUUGAAAUAAUGUCUUUAUCAAGAUCUGUCACAAGCUUCUCUAAAUUCUUGAACUUAUCAGAGUAAUUGCCUCCAUUUUCUGCAACGUAGUCUGCAACACUGUUACAAAACACCACCACAGCAUUAACAAUAUAACAAAUAUACAAAAUUGCAAAACAAAGAGAGGAUCCAAAAUCCAAACGCGUACUUGAUUUCGAGAUGCACAGGCUCCGAAGCUCCCUCAGCUAAUGCAUCAGCCAGCAAUUUACUGUUCAUCACGAGACACUUCACCAACACUUUCUUUGAACCUUUCUCAGGGUUUAUAAACAGAAACGCGUAAUUAUCAUCAGCUAGUUCGUUCCAGUGAUCAAUUCCUACUUCAUCUACACAACCACAAAGACACAGCCGUUUAGUAAUUAAAAAAAUAAAAAAAUAAUGAGUAAAUAAAAUAAAAUAUUAUUUUGCUGAAGUAAUUCAUUUCAGUACCGGUGGAGGAGGAGGGAGAGGUGAACUCGGUGUCCGCGGCAGGGCCAGUGGCGGUUAACACGUGUCCACUGGCAAGGAAAGAGGCGUGAACGACAAAUGCAAUUUUAUCGAAGUCGUUUCUAAAGGUAGGUCUUGCCGCUCUUAUCACGGCCAUCACUGAUUUCUCGUUCGGCAUUUUUUUUUAAUCUUUUUCCUUUCUUUGUUUUUAGAGUUUAUGAGAGAGCGAGGUCUUGUUUCGAAUGUCUGCAAAUUUGAUGGUGUGUUUAGUCGAGGGUUAAGGAAUAAGAAUGAAAGAAUGAUAAUAAAAUUAAAUUAAAUUUUUAAAUGUAAUUUGGUGAUACAAAUAAAAUGUGUGGUUAAUAUAAUUUAAGAAUAAAAAAUAAGAAUUUUAUUUUUAUGGGCAUUGGGAAUAAGAGCGAAGGAAUGAGAAUAAAAUUUAUUUUUAGUUUUUUUUUUUUUUUUUUGAAUUAAAAUUAAUAAAAUUUAUUAAUAAUAAUAUUUAAAAUAACUGCUGUACGGCCANNNNNNNNNNNNNNNNNNNNNNNNNNNNNNNNNNNGCCAAGGCGGAUGUACGGUACAGCAGUUAAUUCAAAUUUUUAUUUUUAUUUUUAUUUAUUUUAUUAAAUAAACACAUUAAUAACAUUCUAAUACAUUUAUAUUCUCAUUUAUUUUACCAAAUAAAUAUUAAAAUCACAUUAUCAUUCUUUAUUUUUAUCUCAAUUUAUUCCCAGCCAUUAUCAUUUUACGUUAUUCCCAAAGUAAAGCACCACGAGUGAAAAUAGAUAGUUAACUCGCGUUUUCAGCUACUUCGUGUUUCGCUCUGGGCUGGCCCGGAAAGAGUAUCUUUUCUGAAGUUGACAAGCAUACUUAGCCUGCAAGCAAUUGAUUAUUUAAAUGCAAUUUAAUAAUAGGAAAAUGAUCCAUAUUCUACGCGUACAAACUAGAUAUUACCAAUUAGUACAAGAAGAUAUAUACGCAGAGAAAAGGACGUUGACAUCACCAUUCGAUGAAAUAGUCGAAGAAAUUUUUAUAUUUUUAAAAAUAAUUAUGCAUAUAUUUUUUUUUUACAUAUAAAAGUUUUUUGAUAAAAUUUGAGGGUGUACAUAAGUUUAUUGCGAUUAUUGUUUAAUAUUGAAAAAAAUUACGCGUCUAAAAUAUGAUUAUUUUAAAAUACAAGAAUGAGUAUGCAUAUCUUAAAAAAAAAUCGGUAUGACUAAUUCGAAAACUAAGAGGCUAUUUUAUGCCUGAUGUUGCUGAAAAGAAAUAUAAGAAUAGACAGAUUGUGCACAUAAAUUAAUCAACGUAGUUGGUUACAGCAAGGCACGUAAUAGCCACGUAUCCUUUGGACCCAUUGGGAGCAUAGUGAGAACACAUUCAUAUCAUUUGUAACAGUUGUAGUUUCCUUGUUGAGGGUAUCUGUGUCGGGAUCACAGGCUUGGAAAAUCUAGUAAAUUUUCCUAGAAAGUAUAGUACAUAUCAAACGGCUCUUUUUUUUUCAUUUCUUUUUUUCUUUUCCCACUUAUAUGACCGUUGGCUUCCUUUAACUAUCAUUGUGUCAUGUUUGAUAUGUCUGAGGCCGAGCAGCAAAGCCGGAACAAGAUGGUUUUGGUAAGUGACACAACGUCAACAACGACGACGAGUAAAUACAGCAAGAUCUUUGUUGGAGGAUUGGCUUGGGAGACUCGAACUGAAACCAUGAAGCAUUAUUUUGAGCAGUUUGGUGAUAUCCUUGAAGCCGUCGUCAUUACUGAUAGGGUUACUGGAAAAUCAAAAGGAUAUGGCUUUGUAAUUUUUAUUCCCCGUCUCAUCUCUUCUCUUUCUUUGCAGCCCUAUCCCUAGCUAGCUAGUUCAUUUUAUUAAGUUUGUUUGUUUAACCUCUUUUUUUUUUUAAAGGUAACUUUUAAGGAUCCGGAAUCGGCAAGGAGAGCUUGUGAGAAUCCUUAUCCAGUGAUUGAUGGAAGGCGAGCUAAUUGUAACCUCGCACACCUUGGUGCUCAUCACAAGAAACGCCCACCUCUUCUUCAUGGCAAUGUUACAGCAGCGGAACCAUCGACAGUUGAUUUUGGUCAACCACCGGUUCCUCAAUAUGCAUUUUCUUAUUCAACUUAUGGGUGAGUUAAUAUUACUGAGUCAAAAAUUUUAGAUAAAUGAUUGAAAAAUGCUACUAGGUCCCAACCGUGACGCAACGGUGACAUAAACAUAGGUGAAGCGUCCCUCUUUUGCCUUUAUUUCGUACUCUAUUUCAAACUUUCUUCCAGUGCAUUAUUCUUCUCAUCAAUUUACUGCCUGGCUACUAAUUUACGUUAUUGUUUAAUAUUAUAUGCAGAUAUCCUACUUUCUCCCAAAACAUUAAUCAUUCAAUGGUUAGUUAUGGUUCCUUUAAAUAACUUGAACAGCACCUCAUUACAAGUUUUGAUUAAAAUGAAAGUGGGUGUACUCUGCGCAGAAUUAUUACAAUGCUUAUUACGGUGGGCUAGGGCAAGGACAACAACAGUUUUCGUCAUAUUAUCAUCCCAACAGGUUCAGGUUCCCCGGAGCUGGAGCCUAUACAAAUUACCAUCCAUUUCCAUUGUAUUUGUAUACUCAGGCUCCGGUUCCGGCUCCGGCUCAGGCUGAGCAGCAACAGAGUAGCCCAAAUCAGCACCCCAAAAUGGUUCAUUUCCCUUAUUUUCCCCAGCAUUUCCCAUCAUCGCUCCCUGUUACUGGUAAAUUAUACAUCUUAUUACAUUUUCAUAUCUAUGAACUACUUCGAUCCCAUCUUACGUGCUACAAUUUACAAAUUUUCAAAAUAAAACUUGAAAAGUUCAACAGAAUUAAAGUAUAUUGCAAUUUGCCACAGAAAAUGUAGCAGCAGGGGCAAUGCAGCCAGGGACUAGGACUGGGACUGGGACUACCUCUCUACGAGACAACACCAAGGGUUAACGAGAGUAGUCUUUCCAUAUUCAUUAUACAAAAAAUUUUUAUGUUGAAUGACCAGAUAUAGAAACUAUCUCUUUCAAGUCAUGAAGCUUCUGCUGAUCAAAAUUCACAUUUCACAUUCUAAAGAGAGGAGAAUUGAAAACUUUUUUUUUUUUAACACAGGCUUUUCUUAACUAAACUUAAAAAAGAAUUUUUUUUUUUUUUUUAAGGAAGAGUAGUGCAAGACAUAUCAAAAUUUUGGGAUUGUUCAUUAUUUUAACCAAAUUUUAUUAUAUUCUUACAAUAAAGAUGCAAGAGUGGAGAGUCAACCACCAAGUAAGAUGCAUGCAAACCAUAACAAGAAACUAGCAGACACAGAUAAGAAUAAAGAGCGUAAAUAUCGUGAAGAAGAAAAACAUUGCAGAAUAUUUCAAAGUCUUCAGUUGUUAGAUAUUUCUAACAUAUCAGUUUCAGGGACCACCCCAACAGAAUUCAAAAUGAUGUGAAACAUAGAUUUAAUGCAUUCAUAUCCUCAAAAUCCCAUAACUACCAAACUCUAUAAGGCAUCAACUCGAGAGAUAUGUCAUAAAUAACCCCUUAGAGGUGACAGAGAUACCGGGCCGAGACACAUAAGACUAAAGAUAAACAUAGUCACCACAAGUACCUCGAAAGAUAUUUUCUGUAUCUAUGUAUAUAUGCAUGUAAAGAUAGUAUUGGCAGUUGAUCAAUCCACAGAACAUUCAAGAGCAUCACUCAAUGCAAGGGCGGGCGGGGAGCCCGUGGACGAACUGGAGUCUUGGAGGGGCUAACCCUGCAUAUAGAAAACAUUGAGAAAUUUCAGAAUAGAAACUGAAUGGAAAUUUAUAUCAUUUAUAACUGAACAGUCCGCCAAAACAACCUUAUAGGCAGUGAUCCCAAGACAGCACCACUACAGUUAAGAGCCGCAAUCGCACUCUCAGCCUGCGAGAGCAAAAUUACAGCAUUAAACUUAGUAGCAUAAAUAAAAAACUAAGAGAUCUUUUCAUGAUAUAAAUUUCCAUAUAACAAAAAGAAUAAGAUCUCCAUAUAACAAAAAAACCUCAAUAAAAUAAUAAACAAAAAGAAUUCUAGCCGAUUACCAUCCCUCAAGUUUAGGUCAUUUUUCUAUUGCCAAACUUUAUAAGGCCUACAAAGGCAGGAACCUAUUCCACAAAGGCAUGCAUCACGUAUCCAAUCACUGAGGGAAAGCGGGAAAACGAGGAAUGUUCUUCUCUUAAGUGGUCCAAGAACUCUUAAGAACCAUACUAACAAUAUGUAUACGCCAUAAUACAAAAUGAUGAGGGAAAACAAAGAAGGAAUUGCUAGGAAGAUAAAGAUCAAACAAGAAGAAUAAAACGAAAGGGGAAAGGAGAAGGGAGAGUAGAGAAUUUCCCAACAAAACAUAUCAAACAACAAUUAAUUAGGCAUUCUUAAUUGGCACAUCCAAAUUCCAAACACAUGUAGUGCAGUAACAGCAAUGUUGUAGCACUCUUCCAGAGAGCCACCACAACAAUAUCUAAAAUUCGCUCUUCAGGCCAGUGGUGCUGAUACCCCUUUUCUUUAUUAGGAUAGGAACGCACUCAAAAUUUCCAUAUUUGCAACCUUUCAUGCAUGUCUCAUUACAAAACUAGUGACAGACCCAACUUUCGCUACAGAUUACCAGAGCAUGAAUUAAUAAAGACAGAAUACAAAAUGCACAACUGCCAGGAACAGACAUUAGAAUACAAAUUAUGUAUCUUAUACAUGCUGGGACUGAAGUUAUGGGUCUAAACUUUUAAAAUCUACAAACUAAAAGGGUCAACAAGCAAACAAAUACAUCUUUCUCAAAGAAGAAGAAGAAAAGCAAACAAGUACAUUCACAACCAUUAUCAUCUCUAGAUGGUCCUACAGGGAAACACUAUAUAAUCAACAAUUAUAUACAAGACAGACCCCCAAAAAUAAAAAUAAAAAGAAGAAGAAAAAGAAAUAGAAUAAGCGCAUAAGCAAAAGAGAGAGAAACCAUACAAGGUGAGUCAUUGAAAUUUUAUAUUCAUAAUACUGUAAAGAAUGGUGAGUUAUGCUAUAGCUCAGUUGUGAAAGGAUAGAAAGACAGUACAAAGAAUCGAAGAUGACAAGAAUAGGAGGCAUAUACAUAAAUGGCCUGCCUAAGCAUAGGUAGGGAACACCAAUCACACAGUAUACUGCCAACCACAAUACCAAAUUGAACCUAAACCUUGCAAAAGAAUCUGAUUAUAAGGAGUUAGAUAUCUGAAGAGCUGUGAACCCCAAAUAGCAAAUGUACAACGUACCACAUCCUAACACUAACCCAUAUCCUCAGUUGAAAGCAGAUCCAACAAAAUAGCUAGCCAACAAUAAACACCAAACUACUUGGUCUCCAACCACUGAGAUGUCUUGAGUUUUCCAUGCCCAAGAAUUUGUUAUAAGACACUUGCAACACCUGAAAAGCUGUGCUUCCUCUUCAACCUUUUCAGAAGAUGAAGGUUGUUGAACUAUCGUUGGGACAGUAGUGCCAAACAUGAAAAUCAGGAUAAUGAGUGAGAUUCCCAGCUAUGAUUGCUCUAACCUUGGAAGCUCUAUGCCUUAUAGCCUUAGGGUUCCUAUAUUCAAUUUCUUCCCAGCCCUUGCCUAGCUCUGAAUUGGCAUCUGCAACUGAUAACCACAGCCUAUCCCCAGUAAACUUCAGCUUAUGUAGAUUUGCACAUAAAAGGCAUAAUGGACACCAUUUCAAAAGAAUAAAAAUGAGAGCCCAAUGGUCCUCAUUCCAAAAGAGUCCUCACCUCAACAAUUGAAAGCACGUCAUUUCUAUUUUCAGCAUACCCAAGCCUUGAAACAAUGUUUGAGAAGAUUUUAUGCCUUUGCAUGGUUUAAAUAAGAUUUGACUUCAUUUAGAGAAAGAAACCAUCCUCCCUCACACAUCCCAGCCCACCCCUCCUUUCUAACUCUCUCAACUCAGGUAAUCACUCAAGAAUUUGCCAUUUUAGCAGUGGAAAAAUUUUCUCCUACAAUUCCCAUUUCCCAAAUCUCUUAGAUAAAUGGCCAGUGACACAUGUUGCUAACUAUGAUAAGAAAUGAUUAGGAACACAUAUGGACAUGAGAGCAUGCUUGGAGUCCUAUAUAAAGGAGAAAAGAAUUGCUGAUAUGAACAAAAACUUCCAGUUCCCAUGCCUUCUAGUGUUACCAGCACCACACAAAUAUAGAACUAGCUUUCUUAUUUCUACACAAACAUAAUUACUAAAUUUAUCACAAAAUGGCAUAUUUAAAUGACAAAACUCUCCUUUUCAAAAAGACAAAACUCUAUUUUCCAUAAUUCAUGCAAAGAUCGUCUCAUUAUGACAAAUAGUCCGAUGUUCAGCUGCCAUUAUUAGGUGUUGCUUAAAAAUACAAAUUCUAAAUGAUCCAAUUCAUAAACAGUAAAAAUAAACCAACAACAAAAUUAAAGAAAGAAACAGGACUUAGAAAGAUAAAUUUACAAAACCGAGAUGGAAGCUAUCUUUUCUCCAAUGCCUUAUAAUCUUGUCACUAAUUGCACUUUCAUGAAUUUUUCCAAAACUUUUAAAAGUAAUGUAGAAUGAGAAAACUCUACUAAAACAAGAUCUAACAUUCUCAUUGUUGACAGUAAGAAGUCCAUCUCAGUACAAGAAAUUAAAGAAUUCUCAAAGUAGUUUAGUGAGCUAAGGGGUUAAACAAAGAUAAAAAAUACCACUAAUUGUGCAUCAAGAGAACAAAAUAUAUACAUCCAGUGCAAAGGAUUCUAACCCAAAAAAGAGGCUUUUCAGUCAAAUUUGAACUACAUUCUAUGUAAACUCUAAAUAUAAUUGCUUCUGCAAUUAAUAGCAAGGACCAAGUGUUUUUGUUCAUAUAACAGGUUAUAAAAAACAAGCAUGCCAUGAAAACGGCUCGCUUACCAUCGCAAACUCAACAAAAGCAAUACGAGUUGAAUGCUGAUAGUCUCCAAGCAGCCUCAAACGUUGAACCUGCACAAAUAAAAUGUGUCCAUAAGAAACCAUGAAUAAUUGAAGGACAAAAUCACUUCAUUAGGUUGGUCAUUUAAGCAACUACAAACCUCCCCACAAACUGAUUCAAAGAAGAGUUUGAUAUCUCCUUGAGUAACCUACAUCAAUUGGACAAACAAGUCAAAAACAAAUGUAACCGGUAUUGCUCCAAAUCACAUACUACAAUAAAUGGCAAAAUAGAAAGUACCUUUUUGUCAAUAUUUGUACAAUAAAUAGUUCUUGAGCACAUCUCACGUUCAUCUUCAGACUGAUAACAUUAGAAAGCCAAUCAAUGCACCAAAAUUAAGAUCCAUGCAGCUUGAAUGUAGGGUUUUUCAAAGAAAAUGAAAUUAAACAAAACUUUAAACAUGAUACAGAACCAGAUGAUAAGCACAGAGAGAGACAAAAAAAGAAAAGACGGAGCGAGUGAGGGCAGAGAAAGAAACAGAGGGAUAAAGGAAAGGAAGAAAGGAAAAAAGAGAGAACAACAACAUGGUUUUUGGUUAACAAAAACAUACCUCCAGACGCCAAAUCUUCUUCAUGAGGUAAAUGCGAAAUUUCUACUAAAAAUAUUCAAAACAAACUUACAAAAGUUUGCAUAACACACCUAACAUGACUAAAUUUUCGAAAAAAACAAAACGGCAAAGUCAUUUGAUAUAAAAAUUUCACAUCUAACUGUCAUCUUGAAAAUUUUGAAAAUGAAGGGGCUUAAUUGCAUAAAAAUUUUGAGGAUAGUUGUUAACUAUAGUGAGGCAGGUGGUUAUAACAGAUGUCUCACCCUUGGUAAAAAGGUUGGAUUAACAGGAGCAAUUGCAGUUUUUGAAGGCAGCACUCUAACGGGAUAGAACCCAAGCAUAGUCCCAGCCAAACUCAGAGCAGCCCUUGCACCUUCUGCAAGCACAUUUUCUUUGAAAUUCAGAACAAGAACAAAUGUCUAUUAAUGAAUAUACUAUGCAUAAGCUUUUAACAAUACCUUCAUCAGUGAACUCAACGAAGGCAAAACGGAGGACGGAGUUAGGAUCACCACAGAUGCGGCAAUCAACAACCUUAGGACAGGUAAUAAUUUCAGAGCAUAAGCCACUACUAUCAAACUAUAAAGGGAAUAUGAGAGCAAAAUAAAACACAGAAUACCUGUCCACAAGUGAGAAAGAGCGUUGCAAGCUGCUCUUCAGUAACCUGACAUACAGAAAAAAUAGGGAAACAAUAGUAAACAUCAGUGCACAAUAAAAACAAACCAAAGCAUAAAAGCAAUAACUUUGCAGAAAGUUCCAGCUCUUUACCUGCUGAUCAAUGUCAGAUACAUACACAGUCCUCCUGAUUACCUCGUCUUGCUGUGCAUUACUUGUUCUACAAUUCAUCCUUCGUUUCCCUUGACUAUAACCAUUCCUCUUCUGAAAAGCAUUAUUAAAAAGACAAAGUACCGUAAUCAAAGAAAGAAAAUACCAAACUAAGAGCCAUACAAGAGGCUUAAAACAACUCAAGAUCAAAAGUAAAGGGCACACAUACCCUUCUAGUAGUAGUAUGUCCAUUGGUAUUUGCAGUGCCAUCAGUGUGCAUUAUAAAAUUAUUAGUGUACCCAAAUCCAUUAGGGCCGAAAAAGGCAGGAUUAAAAUUAAAAAUUUGACCAUUUGCAAGAGAAGGAGGCACAAAUUCAGCAGCCAUGGGAUUCAACUUGGACAGCAUAUCCACCAAAUCCCUCAUCUCGCAAUCCUUGAAACUUUCACCCAUUUUCCUUUCCAUAUGAUUAUCACUUGCAUUCACAUUCACAAACCCACCUCCAGCUCCAGCUCCAGGUUUUGUCUGCCCAUUUUGUAUCUGUAUAUUGGCAUUGCCAUUCCCACUUCUCUCCUUUGAGUGAUCGUUGGAAUUUUGUACAUCAUUUGAGUCAGAUGACACCACAGUGUCAUCCAAAUUUUGAUUCGAUGAAUCGAUCUUAGCACCAGCAUUCUCAGCGACCGCCAUGAUGAUCAGUUUCUGAGUUUUUUUUCCCCCCCCAAAAUGGGUCUCUUUUUUUUUCUGAGAUAUCUCUGUGAAAAUCUGCUCUUUUAUUAGUCAAUGAUCUAAGAUAAAUGCUUUAAAUUUAAAUAUUAAAAAAAACAAAUUUUGAGAAAAACCCAGAAUCUUGUUGAACAGCAGUGGGAGAAAGAGAGAGAGACAGAGCUCUUACCUUAUUCUCUCUUAUCUAAAAACUUUCCAUAAAUGUGAUGAUGUAAAUAUUAAGAAGCAAAGCAAAAACCAAACCAAACCAACCACCAAAACCCACCCAAAAUGAAAAGAAAAGAUAAAACUGAUGAUCACUUCCCAAAAUGAAAUUGGGUGAAACAGAAUACAAACUUUUUUGCUCUUUUAGUUUUUUUUGUAAAUUGAUAAAAAGAGGGUUUAAGAGCGACAGAUAAAGGGGUGUUUGUUUGUUUUUUAAUGCGUUGCAAAAUGCUAUCUGUGUCCCUUUUAUGUUGAUUUUCUUUGGAUCGUCCGUUAGCGGGUGUGUGCCAUCAUCAGGCAUUUGAUUCUCUCUCAUACAUCUACAUGCAUACAUGCAUACAUGCAUACAUACAUACAUUCGUAUGUCAUACAUACAUGCCCGGCAUAUCAAUUACGAGAAUAAUGUAAAUCCAAGAUUUAUCCAUAUCUUAUCUUUCCUUUUUCUAUCUAACCAAAAUUUUUUGUAUCUUUAUACGUGCUACCGAACAAAGAAUUAAAGAUAUCCAAUUAUUGAACAUAAUAAUUCAACAAACAUUAAAUUUAAAACUAAUCGCCAUGGCCGUUCAUAAACAAGCUCCAAGGAAUUCUUUUUUUUUUUUCGCACUAUACUGAAUCAUGUAUUUUGUUACCUUCAACUUUAUAACAAUAAUCGUAUUAACAUAUUAAGAUAUUUGAAUGUUUUUAUACCAUGCGGUUGCUUUAGUUCCAUAUUGAUGAAUUUUAUUAAAUUUGAUCAAUUCCAAUGAAAUAUUUUUUAAUUUAAACCUUUUUAUUUGGUACAAUUGAAGCUUACAUUGAAAAUCAUAUCAAAACCAAAUCUUAGUUAAUAAUAAUUAGUUUGUAAAAUUUUAUUGUUAGUAAGAAUGUUUCCUCAUAAGAUCAAUUUGUCUAAUUCUAAAAAUGAUACAAGAGCUAUGUGUUGAAACUCUGUUACGAAUUUAGCAAGUAAGCGAGGAUUUGAAGAUAGUUAAUUCACGAAAAAACAGUCAAUUCAUGAGAGAAGUAAUCCGAAAUUAAUUUUUCUAAAUUAACAAACUGAAGCCAUUAAAAUAAACAGUUGCACAUAUACUUAAAUGUGGAUUUAUUCUAGGGUGAUAAGGGAGUUAAUAUUAUUUCAUUAAAAAAUAAAACAAUCAGUGUUUAAACAUAAAUGUAUACUACAUCUCGAGAUUUAUACGAUAACUAGGAAAUAGAACCGCACUUCGUGCGGCUUUAAAAAAAAUUAGUAUUAUUUUUUUAUUACUUUGUAAUUGAUGAAAUUAAUAAAAAAUAUGAAUUAUUUUUUUUAAAGAUAACGCAGUCUUAUAAAACUAAUGUUAUUUAUGAAAGUUAAUUAUUUUUUGUUAACAUUAAAAAUAUAUAUUAAUGUGUAUAGUUAAGUGUACACAACCUUUUCAUCAAUAAAAAUUACGUUCAUACUAAUCAACUCCCUAUUUUUCUUGGUAUUAACAGACUCUCACAUCUUACAAAGCCUAACAUUUAUCAUCCAACUAUCUUUAUCAUUGUUUAACUCAUAAAGAAAAUAAUACUCCAUGAAGCACACAAUACUAAAAAUUUAAAUAAGUCAAAAAAUAAAAAACACAAGAACAUUUCUAAAGAGGAUGUUGGUUAAAUAAUAAAAAAAAAACUCAAACAUAACAAAUCUUAAAUGCUUAAUAUUUAUAGAGCUUGAAGAAGGCAAAAGAUACUAAAUAAAAGGUUGCAUAAUUAAAUAUGGGAUUAUGACAUUAAAAUUAGGUCAUAGGGUAUUGGUGAGGGAAGAUGAAGGAACAUUCCUUCCUAUAUUAAUUAGUUGAUGUAUUUUAAACCACUAAAGUUUAGUUGUUGGCUUAAUAAAAUAAAUGAAUGUUUCAAAACUUAUAAUUAAUUUAUUAUUAAUGGUUACAUAUUGUUGAAUUUAAAUAGAAAGAGGAAGAGACAUGUAAUCUUUUGUAAUCUAUUAAUUAUUUUAUAUUUUUAAUAUUUUGUAAUGUAAUUAUUUUUUAAUCUCAACCAAUAUAUUAGAUAAUAGAAAAUAUAAAAAGAUGAGAAAUAAUAAUGCCACAAAUAUUAACUACUUAAUGUUUAUAGAGUUUGAAGAAGUCAAAAGGUACUAAACAAAAGGUUGCAUAAUUAAAUAUGAGAUUAUAACAUUAAAAUUAAACCCUAAUGGCAUUGUUGAGGGAAGAUGAAGGAACAUUCCUUCCUAUAUUAAUUAGUUAAUGUAUUUUAAACCACUAAAGUUUAGUUGUUGGCUUAAUAAAAUAAAUGAAUGUUUCAAAACUUAUAAUUAAUUUAUUAUUAAUGGUUAUAUAUUGUUGAAUUUAAAUAGAAAGAGGAAGAGACAUGUAAUCUUUUGUAAUCUAUUAAUUAUUUUAUAUUUUUAAUAUUUUGUAAUGUAAUUAUUUUUUAAACUCAACCAAUAUAUUAGAUAUUUUCCUAUGUUAAUUAAUUCAUAUAUUUUAAGCCACUAAAGUUUAAUUGCUAGCAUAAUAAAAUAAAUAAAUGUUUCAAAAGACUUAUAAUUAAUUAUUAUUAAUGAUUACAUAUUGUUGAAUUUAAAUAGAAAGAGAAAAAAAAAGUACAAAGAAUAUCCACCAAUAUUUUAGAUAUUUUAUAUAAUAAAAAAUGUAAAAAGAUGAGGAAUGAUAUAUAUUAAUAAAGUUACUAUUUAUUAAAUGAGUUAAAUACAAUCAAAUUAAUUAUGAGAAGAUGAAAAGACAAAUCUAAAAAAAAAAUCUCUAUUUAUUAGAUAAUAGAGAAUAUACAAAGAAGCAAAAUGGUGAUGCCACAUCACCUCCUCAAGUCCUAACUUUAUAUAUAUAUAUAGAUAGAUGGUUUUUCAAACAAGUAAUUUUUUUUUUUUUCAAAAACACUAAAACAAACAAAGAUGUGGAGAAAGUUAAAAGGAAAUAAAAUAUUAUAAAUAUUAGAUGUACAAUGUUACUUUUGCACAGCGUUACUUUUGUUAUUUAUGGGGUGGAUUUAAAAAAUAUAUUCAUUUUAAUCUUUUUUAUGGGUGGAUUUUGUUAAUCAUACGGUGGUGGCUUUACCCAAAAAAAAAUAAAAAUGAGGGGGAAUAUAACCAUCAUUUGGUUAACAUAUGUCUAAGGCUUUGUUUGUUUAAGUUUUUUGGCAACUCACCUGGCAAACUUGCAAAUAUAAUUUGACAACACAACUAAAUAUUUUUCCCAGUUAUCUACAAAGGGUCGGUUUGGUAAUGUUUUAGGUUUUAAAAUAAUUGAUGUUAUCUAUACUAUAAAAAUAAUCAGCUGUAAAAAAAAAUUAGAUAAACAUUUGGUAAAAUUUAUUUUUAAAAGCAUUAUAAAUUUUAAAAAUAAUUGUAUGUGUUUAAUAAAUCUUACUAUAGAGUUGUUGUAAAAAUAUAAAUGAUGGUAUUGGACAUAACGUUCAAUAAAAUUUAUUUACAUAUUUAUAAACAUAUCAUUUUUUAGUCUUGUCUUGGAGACAAGUUUGUCUGUCUUGUCUGUAAUGACAAGUUUUCUUUCGUGAAGUUCCUUGAUUAAAGCUUUCUAGUCAGAAUUUUUGUGACUUUUCAGGUUAGUCAAGUGCAAUGUCAGGAAGAGAGCAGGAGUUUGAAAUCAACAUUGGUUACGCACAUAUCAAUUUGGAGGAAGAGGAGGAAGGAGGUCUGAUUGUAGAAGGAAAUGAUGUU
rnacentral:lncRNA from 1 species